GGCCAACAUCCCUACCUCCCUCUUCAACUCCCACCCAACACAAUUGUGGUUCCUUCACGGCUGCCUCCCAGCCAAAUCCGGCCGCCACCAACCAGCACGUGCUCGCCUUGGUCUCCUCUUUCUCCCUGAAAAAGUCUACCAGGUUCAAGGGCAGAGCCAUAGAUUUAGCCUCUAAAAAUAGGCUCUGGACGAAUUUAACCAUGAUGUGCACGCAAGGGCGGUGAUGCCUUUUACUACUUGAGAGGCCCAACUA